rnacentral:rRNA from 1 species
CUAGGUGUAAACGCUGUGAACUUGGUGUCGGGAGUCCGCAAUGGGCCCCCGGUGCCGGAGUGAAGAUGUUAAGUUCACUGCCUGGGGAGUACGGUCGCAAGGCUGAAACUUAAAGGAAUUGGCGGGGGAGCACUGCAACGGGAGGAGCGUGCGGUUUAAUUGGAUUCAACGCCGGAAAACUCACCAGGGCCGACUGUUAGAUGAAGACCAGCGUGAUGAGCUUGUCGGAUUUUCAGAGAGGUGG